rnacentral:misc_RNA from 1 species
AAGUCGUAACAAGGUUUCCGUAGGUGAACCUGCGGAAGGAUCAUUAAUACGUUUGUAACAAAACGUUUAAACCCAAAUGAAUCGUGAACUAUAGUGUCUUACGGGUUUGCAUUUGAGACUUGGCAACUAGUCUUGAAAAGGAGCUUUUUGGGCCUUUAUGGUUCAAACAUCUCAGUGUAGAGCAGUGAGAUGACAUCACAGCAAUGUGUGUGGUUCUGAAAAACAUUUGUAUCCGGUUAUCAAAUCUGUUCUACCAAAAUAUUAAACAAUAAACCCCAUGUACAACAACUUGAACUAAACAUUUUUUUGUUUGUCUGCUUCGCGGCAGAUGUGCAAAGAAAAAACCUGAACUUAAGAACAACUCUUAACAACGGAUAUCUUGGUUCUC